AUACGGAGGGUGCAAGCGUUGUUCGGAAUUACUGGGCGUAAAGCGAGUGUAGGCGGCUUCGUUAGUCGGAUGUGAAAUCCCAGGGCCCAACCCUGGAACUGCAUCCGAUACUGCGAAGCUAGAGUCCUGGAGAGGAUGGCGGAAUUCCGGGUGUAGAGGUGAAAUUCGUAGAUAUCCGGAGGAACACCAGUGGCGAAGGCGGCCAUCUGGACAGUGACUGACGCUGAGAUUCGAAAGUGUGGGGAGCAAACAGGAUUAGAAACCCCGGUAGUCC
rnacentral:rRNA from 1 species